rnacentral:tRNA from 1 species
GGGGCUUUAGCUCAGUGCAGUAGAGCGCGCGCUUCGCAUGCGUGAGGUCACCGGAUCGUAAUCCCGGUAAGCUCCA